GCGGGUUUAGCUCAGUUGGGAGAGCGUCAGACUGAAGUCAAACUUCAAUCAUUGCGAUAUCUGAAGGUCAUGUGUUCGAUCCACAUAAACCGCA
rnacentral:tRNA from 5 species